UAUGCUGCUGGUUGUGUUGAUUUUUCUCUGGUUCUUGAUUGUCGAAACAGGGAAUAUGUUGAUUCAGGGAGUUGGCUUCGGGCUCUUCUUUUCUUUGGGUAUAAUGUUGAACGUUGAUGGAAUUGAAGAGAGAUUUUGUGACCCACAUGUAUAUGAAAUUCAUUUGUGUUCGGUUCUAUUUGAAUGAUGAUUUUGAACCCCAUAUCUCCAUUAUUUUAUGCUGAUAGCAUGGGUUUCAUAUUUGAAAGGCGUAUGAAAAGUUAAAUAAUAUGAUUAUGAAUAUUAAAUGAUGCUAUAUGAUGUUUUGGAGUGAAGGCCGUGAGGUUCAAUGAAAAACGGAGUUGUUAUUGUUUUGUUCUGGUUAAAUGGUUUUAGCUUCUGGAUUGGAGAGAAGCAAAGUGAGUUUGAAAGCAAUGAGUUUGAAUUUGAAUGCUACAUAGAUUGGGAAGUGAUUUUUUUUUUUAAAUCUGGAAUUUUAAUAAGGGAAGGAAUUGUUGAAUUGGGGAACCAAAAUUUGAUUUGGAGUUUAUUGUUUUGUGUUCUCAAAUGCUGAAUAUUAUUUUAGUUAGUGGAUCAGUCUUACUGUGAGCAAUGGUUAAACUUUAUUACAGUAAAAUGAGAAUUUUAGAGGGAAAAAAGAUAUGUAGACAUUGCGAAAUGGAGGGAUGUUAAUGUUGGGUGAUUUAAUAUUGUGUGUGUGUAAGGUAUUUUCGGUCAAGGGGGUUUCAAGAGGAAAUAUAAUUUUAAAAUGGGGACAUUAAAACAGCUGAUGGCAUGAUGUUUAUGAAGCUGGAAUUUCAUGGAAGUAUGGAAGAAAUGCCGUUGCUAUUAUAAAUUUUAAGGACAUUGAAAAUAUAUAUAUUCAACGGUGCUGAUUCGUUGUUGGAAGACUUGGAAUAAAUGAUCUAGUUACAUAUACAUGUCUCGGCCUAUGUAGAAAAUUAGGGAAGGUACUGGAAGUUUGUCCUAAGAAGCUUAAAAAAAAAAAAAGAAUUCUUCAAGUCAAGAGAGAAAGAUAAGGAAAACAAGUUAUGAAGUGUAAGGGAAAUUGACAAACUUUGUUUGAUUGAUUAUAAGGAAUUUUAAUUCAUAAUGAAUAUGUUUAUCAGUGAAAUAGAUAAGCAUUUAUGUACAUAUAUAUAUUUAUGUUAAUCUACCAUUGUCUAUAUAAUUUAUAAGAUUUGAUAUUUGUUUGAGUUCGUUAAGGAAAGAGCCAAGAAGCAAGUAAGGGGAAGGCAAUACGGAAGAAAGAGCAAAAGGAAGAGCAAGUACUUCUAAGAGCAAGGGAGUAGUAAUUGGUGGAACUUGAAGAUGAAGAGAGUUGGAGAAUUAUUAUGUAUUUUGUUUAAAUAUGCUUACUAUAUUUUGGUCUUCUAGAUUGAAGAUUUAAAUGUAUGUGUGUAUAUUUUGGUUUGUAAAUAUUCUUCCAUAAGGAGGAGUCUAAGGUCAGAUAAACUAUAGGUAACUGCCAUUGACAGAAAUAGCCUGUAUGCUGAUAUAUAGUUAUGAUUACGAUC